rnacentral:tRNA from 1 species
GCCCGUCUAGCUCAGUUGGUAGAGCGCAAGGCUCUUAACCUUUUGGUCGUGGGUUCAAGCCCCACGGUGGGCG